UACGAAGGGGGCUAGCGUUGUUCGGAAUCACUGGGCGUAAAGGGUGCGUAGGCGGAUUCUUAAGUCAGGGGUGAAAUCCCGAGGCUCAACCUCGGAACUGCCUUUGAUACUGGGGAUCUUGAGUCCGGAAGAGGUGAGUGGAACUGCGAGUGUAGAGGUGAAAUUCGUAGAGUAUUCGCAAGAACACCGGUGGCGAAGGCGGCUCACUGGUCCGGAACUGACGCUGAGGCACGACAGCGUGGGGAGCAAACAGG
rnacentral:rRNA from 1 species